UUGUUUGAAGUUUUAAGCAUGUCUUGUGGGAUUUCAAUUUCAUCGUCUUCAUUCUUCAAAAUCUUGUCUUCUCCAACUUUCAACAAAAAUUGAGAAUAGUCGCCUUCUCCCUCUGUCAAUCGCAUAUUUGUGUGCAAUUGAAACUUGGU